CGGCUUAUCAUGAUCAUAUCAGGGGGGUCUUCGUCGUUCAGAGCAGCUCCCGAACCUCGUCUUAAACAGCCAGCUAUAGAAUCCCAGCAGUCACACGGCCCUCUGCUCGCUGUGACCGCCGCUGAUCGCCGCACCAACUCCUACACCUCCUCCUCCUCCUCUGCAGACCAGAUGAUUGACAGCUACACCACUGCUGACAUCACCUCCAGUUUCUGGCCACUGGGACCCACCUCUUCCUGCCAGAAAGACUUAAAACCAGAAGAUAUGCCAUUUUGAUCCAGUUCUUUUACAAACUCCCGUCUGUGAAGAUGUUUCCAUAAUUGUAGCAUGUUUUUCUUUGUUUACAGUCAUUCUGUUAUAGAAGGUUGUCAGGGUGGUGCCCCAAAUCUUUAUUAUGGUCUUGUCUUUCUCUUACAAGAUUAAGGAACUCAGCAAUACCAAAGAACCACUGCUUCUGUGAAUGGAUAGGAGCCAGUUGAGAUGGUAGUGACAUGCAGUUAGAAAAGUGUUCCAGGGAGAGUGCCAGGUGGCUGAGUUAAGAUACGAUAGGGGGAUUAUAUCUCUGAGGAGGAACUAGAGGAAGCUUCUGGGAAUGGGGGACCCUGGUUAGUCCAGCCUGGCAUAUGCCACUCUGACCCUCACCAAAAAGUAGAAUGAUGAUGAUCAUCUGGAAGUUCUGUAGAUUUGAUGUAUUACAUUUGAUGCCUGUGGUGAAAACUGACAGACUGGAACUGUUAUAAUAAACCUGGGAUGUCAGGUCUACUGGUAUGAAACAUUAAAAUUUAUAAUAUGAGUGGAUCCAUGAAGUAUUCAGACUCCCUCACUUUUUCACAUCUUGUUAUCUUCUAGCUUUAUGGUAAAAUCAUUUCAAUUCAUUUUUCUCCCAGGAUUAAAAAGCAAAAACAGAAUUUUAGAAAUUUUUGCAAAUCUAUUAAAAAUAAAAAAAAACUGAAAUAUCCCAUUAAUACAAAUAUUCAGACCCUUUACUCAGUUCUUAGUUGAAGCACCUUUGGCAGCAAUUACAACUUGAAGUAAUCUUUGCUCUUACAAAAUAAGUUUUGCACACGCAGGGCCGUCUUAACAUAUGGGCACAAUGGCCACUUGCCAGGGGUCCCAGGAGCAUAGUGGCCUACAAUGUUUCUAAUUCCUAUGUAUGUUUCUGUUUUGCUAUCAAAAUAGGGGCCCCAGCGCAUUACUUUGCCCAGGCCCUGGAGUUGGAGAUUUUCUGCCAUUCUUCUCAGUGGAUCCUCUCAAGCUCUGUCAGGUUGGAUGGAGAAUAUCGGUGGACAGGCUAUUGUUGGGUAUCUUGAUUGGGAAGGACAUUCACAGAGUUAGGCCGAAGCCACUCCUGUGUUGUCUUUGCUUUGUGCUUGGAGCCAAUGUUCUGUUGGAAGGUGAUCUUUCGGCCCAGUUUGUGGAUAUUUCUGUACUUUGCUCCAUUCAGUUUUCCCUCGAUCCUGACUAGUUUCCCUGACCCUGCCACUAAAAAAUAACCACUCAGCAUGAUGCUGCCAACACCAUGAUUCAUCAUUGGAAUGGUAUUGCACAGGUAAUGGGCAGGGCUUGUUUUCCCCCAGAUAUGAUGCUCACAAUUGAGGCUUAAUUGGAUAAAAGAAUAUUGUUUCUCACAGUCCGAGAGUCCUUCAGAUGUCUUUUUGGAUAUUCCAAGUGGACCUCCCUGUGUCUUUAACUAAAGAGAGGCUUCUAUCUGGCUACUCUGUCAUAAAGCACAGAUAGGUGGGGUGCUGUAAUGAUGGUCGUCCUUCUGGAAGUUUCUCCCAACUCCAUACAGGUUCUCUGGAGCUCAUCCAGAGUGACAAUUGAUCUCCUAGUCACCUCACUUACCAUGGCCCUUCUCCCCUGAUUCCUCACUUUGGCCAGGUGGCUAGCUCUAGGAAGAGUCAUGGUUGUUAAAAACGUCAUCCAUUUAGAACAUAGGAAAUUUGACAAAAAAACUACAGGAGACCAUUCAGUCCAUCAAGCCUGUUUGUUUAACUAAUAGUUAAGCUAUCCCAAAGGAUUUGAGACAUUAUGAAGGCCAUUGUGCUCUUGGGAAGCUACUGCAGAAUUUUUUUGUAGCCUUCCACAGAUCUGAGCCUCGGCACAAUCCUGUC